rnacentral:rRNA from 1 species
UCCGAGUUGUAAUUUGUAGAGGAUGUUUUGGGUACCGCCCCGGUUUAAAUUUCUUGGAACAGAAUGUCAAAGAGGGUGAGAAUCCCGUCUUGGACCGGCGGUAGGGCCUGUGUAAAACUCCUUCGACGAGUCGAGUUGUUUGGGAAUGCAGCUCAAAAUGGGUGGUAAAUUUCAUCUAAAGCUAAAUAUUGGCCAGAGACCGAUAGCGCACAAGUAGAGUGAUCGAAAGAUGAAAAGAACUUUGAAAAGAGAGUUAAACAGUAUGUGAAAUUGUUGAAAGGGAAGCGCUUGCAACCAGACUUGAGCGCGACGGUUCCCCUAGCCUUUUGGCUAGGCUACUCCGUCGUGUCCAGGCCAACAUCGGUUCUGAGGGUCGGUCAAAGGCCCCGGGAAUGUACCUACCUACGGGUAGACUUAUAGACCGGGGUGUCAUGCGGCCUCUCGGGACCGAGGAACGCGCUUCGGCUCGGAUGUUGGCGUAAUGGUUGUCAGCGACCCGUCUUGAAACACGGACCAAGGAGUCUAACAUCUAUGCGAGUGUUUGGGUGUCAAACCCGGAACGCGGAAUGAAAGUGAACGGAGGUAGGAAGCUUCGGCUGCACUAUCGACCGAUCCUGAAGUUUACGGAUGGAUUUGAGUAAGAGCAUAGCUGUUGGGACCCGAAAGAUGGUGAACUAUGCCUGAAUAGGGUGAAGCCAGAGGAAACUCUGGUGGAGGCUCGCAGCGGUUCUGACGUGCAAAUCGAUCGUCAAAUUUGGGUAUAGGG